AAGGUGUCAAGUGUCUUCAUUCCUCAAGCUGCAACUCAAGUAAUCGAACUCAUCAAUAAGCUGCUCAGGACUUAAAUCCUACAAAUCUCUAGCCAGAAGCUAAGAGGAGUAUAUUAAUUUCUGGUUGCAAGCAACAGAAAUGGACUUUCUGGAAUUAAAUGGUAACUUAAGGAAGCUGAGAUCAAGAAAGUUUAAAUAACUUAAAGGUCAAAGAGCAAGUUAGAGGAAGAGAUGGAACAGAAAUUUCAUCAAAUAUUCUAUACCCUUACUACCCGAAGUGUGGUCUGUGGACGACCUCAGCUGGGGGCUGGUUAGGAAGGCAAACUUGCAGGCCCCACCCCAAACCUACUGAGUCAGAAUCUGCAUUUUAACAAGAUGCUGGGGUAAUUCACAUGGACACUAAAGUCUGAGAAGCACUGCUUUAUUUUUAUAGGUCUCUACUUCUGUGUCAUCCAGUGGAAACUGAACCCAGGUGUUUCUCACAUGACUUUGACUGAUGAUGGUCUUUCCUCAAUUCACAGGAAAAAAAGACAUAAUUGUUUCGUCAUUAUGUUCUAAACCCUACAGCCUGUCCCUGUGUUCUAUUAGCACACUCAGACAGAGAGCAGAUUAUGUGAUCACCAGAAAUGUAACAAUAGGAUGCACCUAAGCCAAAUUCCAACAGAAUGAUGGGAGGAAUUCUUCAAAUCAGGACUUCAUAUAGGCAAUGUUGAGGAUGACCAGUCCCAACUGUGAAAUCGGAACCAAAACUGUAAUGAUAAGAAUUGUUCCAUGGUACUUGGGUGCAAGAAAUAUCACAUUUCUUUAUUGUUUUAAAUCAAAUUAAACAGUCCCACCUGUUGAGCAGAAAAUCUAUGUGCAAUUAUUUAGGACACCCUCUCCACCUUUCCUUGGUUGAAUCAGAACCCAGAGGCUUAUAUAGUUCUAAAAAAACACAAAUUAAAAAUUUCAAGAGAAAAGGGGUUGGCAGGGGGAGGGGGGAGAAAUGGCUCUUUGUCCUCCAGAUGGCCCUGGCCACUGACUUUCCUUCUGCUCAAGCCACUGCUCUAGGAG
rnacentral:lncRNA from 1 species